rnacentral:rRNA from 1 species
UACGUAGGGGGCAAGCGUUGUCCGGAAUUAUUGGGCGUAAAGAGCGCGUAGGCGGUCCGGUAAGUCAGCUGUGAAAGUCAAGGGCUCAACCCUUGAAAGCCGGUUGAUACUGUCGGGCUAGAGUCCGGAAGAGGCGAGUGGAAAUUCCCGGUGUAGCGGUGAAAUGCGCAGAUAUCGGGAGGAACACCAAUGGCGAAGGCAGCUCGCUGGGACGGUACUGACGCUGA